rnacentral:rRNA from 1 species
UGGCGGCCGUAGCGCGGUGGUCCCACCUGACCCCAUGCCGAACUCAGAAGUGAAACGCCGUAGCGCCGAUGGUAGUGUGGGGUCUCCCCAUGCGAGAGUAGGGAACUGCCAGCAA